AGACAGCAGACCUUGUGCAAUGCACUCUCCCACGGGCCUCCCAUUCCAAUUUCCCCUUUUUAAGCCUUUCUCCCCAGCCUAAAGUUUUAAGAGGUUUCUGGAGGCGUAAGGAUUCUAUUUAUGUUUAAUGAACAAAAAAAUUAGUUUCAAUGAAAACUUUAUUUGAAAUGAUGAAUUCAAGCUGUUACCAGCCUCCCAAGUAAGAUGCCAGAGACUUCAAACACUGCUGUUGUUUCUCAAGGAAAAGAUCCAGUUAACAAGGAAUCAUUCUCUCUUCUUCAAUAGCUGCUUACGAAAUAAAAACAUCAGUAGGAGGGGAAGGAGGAAGGAAGGAGAAGAAAGAGGAAGAAUAGGAGGAGAAGAGGAAGAGAGGAAGAAGUCGUGAACAGCCCUCCUGCAUUUUGCAUCAGGUAGAAAAGUCAGUUGAAUGUUGGGAAGAACACAAAUACUCACACAUUCCUCCCCAUUCUCUGAAUUCCCACAAAGACUGUUAUUGCUGGGGCUCAUAAAAUUAUACCCCAAAGUAUGAUGCUUUGGCAUCCAGAGUGCUUUGAACUAUAGGAGAUUGAAGGCCCCAGAAGCCAAGUUUCCCUCUGACCUUCUCCUGCCUUCCUGUCUUCCACCCCCUGCUUUUCCCCUGAAGUGAGUCCUGGAAGCCAGAAUUCUUCUUGCCCAAAGCAAGCCGUGACACCCUGGAAAUAUCACUCUAACCUUCCUUGCCUUUCCGUGUGGCAGCUGGCCAUGAAGAAAUUCUCUGACCUACCUUGUUUGAUAGCAGAUCACAAGACCCUGGUUCCAGAGCGGUCCUGCUUUACACCGAGGGAAAGGAAUGUCAUACAGAAAGGCCAAGAAGAAUCUGAAGAGAUGUCCAAUCACCUUUUCACGUGGCUGCCCAUUCUUCAUUGAACCUAAGCAUUAAAAUAGACAGUUUCCCCUGGGUCUUUGGGUCUUCAUUUCUGAAGACUCCAUGUCAUGUAAAACUUUGAUUAAAUAAAU
rnacentral:lncRNA from 1 species